GCAUAGCUCAGUGGUAGAGUGCUUGCCUUCCAUACAUGAAGCUCUGGGUUCAAUACCCAGUGC
rnacentral:tRNA from 1 species